rnacentral:rRNA from 1 species
AAAACGACUCUCGGCAAUGGAUAUCUCGGCUCUCGCAUCGAUGAAGAACGUAGCGAAAUGCGAUACUUGGUGUGAAUUGCGAAUCCCGUGAACCAUCGAGUCUUUGAACGCAAGUUGCGCCCAAGCCUUCCCGGCCGAGGGCACGUCUGCACAGGUGUCACAA